UCCCGACUGCUACGUCCUUCUCAAAAUUUCCUCUCCUCUUUUGAUUAAACCCUAAAUCGCUGCAGGAUCUCCCUCUUGAGAUCUCCUUCUCUUUUGUCCUCGACUCCUUGCGACUGCCUCCUCCCUGAUGCCAUCGAUGACAACCGUCUUCCUCAUCGGUUUAGCUAUGUAAGAUCCCAAUAUCCAAAUGUUCUUUAUCGAUUUAAAUCAAUAAUGACUCGAUUUCGUUUCUUCUCAUGAUUCCGAGACGGUUGGUUUCGGUUGAUUUAUGGGGUCAAAUAUUUAAACAAUCCCAUAAGUUUGGGGUGGGUUACAUAUCAAUCCCAUAACUUCAAAAUGAUACAGAACCGUCUUGUUUUGUCCUUCCUCAUUAUAUCGCAGUCCUGCUCAUGGUGACUCUUGAUUUCCGACGAAGUUGCCACAUCAACACUUCCACAUCAGACGAAAUUCAUAUAAAUAUUUUUUGGAUUGAUUGCUAAUCAGAACCGAUUAUUCAAAAACCCAAACCGGAAAAAAAAUUUCAAAUUUGCUCGUAAUUGUAAUUUAAUGAAUAAACCACAAACUAACCUAAUUCUAAAAUUAGUUGCAGACAAAUCAGCCGCCCAUAUCUUCUUCUUUUUCAAUAAGCCACAACAUCAUCAUACUUGUUCUCGUCAUGAUCUUUGAUCCAAAAAGGAACCCAGUUGAAGGCAUGAAGAAAGAGAGACGUAUGGAAUUGAAAUUCCACAAUACAGUACAAGAUUAGCUCAACCAAACAAAAGCACCGGAGCUCAGCCUUCGCCGUUUCCGAAUCUAUUUUAAGGUAGGGAUUCGUGACGCUGACACCGUCACAACCACAAGCUCCACCGCUAUCUAUGGGAAUUCAGAAGCAAUCAACGCGGAUCUGUUUGGCCCGUAUACCUUGAAAGUGGAACCGACGGUGGCUAUGUUGUUAUUAAGCUUCGUCGUCGAUUCUUUUUUGUUUCCUGGUUAUAGAGAAGACAUACAUAACUAGAUCGAAGAAGCUGCAUCAGACUUGGUCUGGGUUAGGGAGCCAGGUCUGAAUAGUAAUACAAGUAGAGGUUAGGUUGAUGAUGAUGAUGGUCGUCGAAUACGAGCUGACGAAUGGUCUUGAUGGAAGACGAUGGCAUCUGAUUUUAGGAUUACAAGGUUUUUAAAAUUUUGUCCAAUUUAAGUCGGUUCUUAUUAGCAAUCAACCAAACUAACAAUAUAUUUGAAUGAAUUUAAUUUGAUGUGGAGCUGCUGAUAAGGCAAUCUUGCCGAAAAUUCCAACUGCCACCGUGAGCAGGACCGCAAUGUAACGAGGAAGAACAGAACAUGACAGUUCUGUAUCAUUUUAAAGUGAUAGGAUUGAUUUGUAAUCCAUUUUAAAUUUACGGGACUUUUUAAGUAUUUGACCCGUUGAUUAUCUGUGCAGUGAUGGCUGAUUUAGUUGUGUAUUGAUGUUGGCUGUCUUAGUGGAUGUCUUUUGAUCACAUGUUGGCUUAAAAAUCAUGACGGUUUUGGGUUUGACAUUGGCUGAGUUGUAUGGUAAAUUUUGUGGGUUGGAAAUGAAUGUUUUGUGUGGGAACGUGGGGUAAUCGUGUAUUGUUAAUAGCUGAGCUUUCUGUAGUAAUGGUUUGGUUUGUUUUGUAUCUAAAGUCGAAAGCAUGUUAGGAUUUACUUAUAGAUAUGUCUUUUAUCUUGCCUUCUUAAUAUAAUCCACCUUUUAAACUACAUUUAAGUUAUAAUUAGCAAUCACAACUCAAAGAGGUCUUUAAAAAGAUCAUCUAAUCAACGAGUUUAGCAUACAAAGUCUGUGUUUUUAAUUUAAAUAAUUAGUUGUAAUCUUCAUUUUAGCUCGUUUUUACUUGACUCGAAUCUAUUCUUUACAAGUUUAUCAUCUUUGCUGGUUAUGUUAUAUUUGUCAUUUUCCAAGUCACUUAGCACAAAAGGGCCAAGGUCAAAGUUAGUGGUGUUUUGAAUAACCAUUAAUCUACAUCCUAAGUCCAAUAUUCAUGAUUUACAUAAAGAAUGCUUGAAACGAUGAUGAUAUGUAAAAUACAAUUAGGAUGGUAAAGUAUGUAUUUUUAAUGAUUUUUGCUUUGUUACCUUCCACCUUUUUGAUGAUUAGGCUUGCUUUGAGUUGACCAGUUUCUCUUUUCGAGGUGAUUUGGAUGGGGUUCGAUCUGAAGGUUCUAGGAGCCAGUGAUGUGGGCAAACCGGUGAAGCCGAGUGUGAUUAAGCUAGGUUGACAAGUUGAGGAUUGUGAGGAUGUGCGAUUCGAGUGAAGUUUGAAUGUGAUUUGGUUUGGAGGUGAUUUGAGGGAAUAAUUAGUUACAAGUGCUUGCUUGCUUUCUUGUUGCUCUUAUUUUAUUCAUUUUUUGGUAAUGUUAUUUGUUGUGUUCUUAGUAAACUAUUUAGAAAUUUUCUAUCUUUCAGAAUCCUUGAUGAUGUUUGAUUUACCACGUUCAUCGCCCUCAUUUAAACGACUUGUCAUGCAUAAGCGUAUAGCUUUAGAUAGAAGUUUAGGAUGUUUUGC
rnacentral:lncRNA from 1 species